rnacentral:lncRNA from 1 species
UAUAAUGUCUGAUAAAUGGGGUGAUAGUGCUAGGCAGAAGGAUCUGCCUCCUCAGUAGGUGGAUCAGCUGAGGCUUCGGGCUCUGGAGCUUGAGACUCUGAAGGCUGAGAGUGUGGCUCUGGUGGAGUCUCAGUGGAAGGCUCUACAGCUUGUGGCAGAUCGAAAUGGACUUGAAGCUGCCUUAGGAUGGCAGCUUGUUGAGCCUGAGAGGCUAACAUCUGCUCCUGGCAUGCUUUGAUGGCUGCCAAUUCCUGAGCAAGAUUGCUC